UAUAGGGAUGAAAUUAUGUGGUUAAAAAGUAAGAGAAUAUACAAAUUGAAAAAAGAAAAAAAAUUAUGGCUUUUUGGUAAUGAGGAAAUAAAAAUGGGAAAAUGACAUAGUCCACAAAAAAGUGUUAAAUUUUUCUCCUUUUUAUUUUCUCUUCUCCCAUAAGUCAAAGUUCAAUAUUAUAAUAGAACAGGAUCAAUCAUAAAGAAGAAAGAAAAUUCAAUAUGUAAAUGAUACAUGUAAAUAUUAUAUUAACUGUUGUAUUCAUUAUUCUAAGGAAAUCAUUUAUUUUAUGUAUUGUAAUUAAAGGGUAUUCUAUGAUGAAGAUCCAAUUAAAAUAAUAAACUUUAUAUUAUUUACUUUAUGUAAAUGUAAUUGUGUUUUAAUACAUAAUAUAAAUUUUAAUAUUGUAUUCAAUAAAAAAAACCUGAACGUAGAUAUUUGACAUGAAAGAAAGAUAAUACACAUACAGAAAAAAGAAACAAAAAAUAUGGCUUUUUGGUAAUGAGGAAAUAAAAAUGGGAAAAUGACAAAAGUCCACAGUAAUGUGUUAAGUUUUCUCCU